UGGGGAAUUUUGGACAAUGGGCGAAAGCCUGAUCCAGCAAUGCCGCGUGUGUGAAGAAGGCCUUCGGGUUGUAAAGCACUUUUGUCCGGAAAGAAAUCCUUGGCUCUAAUACAGUCGGGGGAUGACGGUAUCGGAAGAAUAAGCACCGGCUAACUACGUGCCAGCAGCCGCGGUAAUACGUAGGGUGCAAGCGUUAAUCGGAAUUACUGGGCAUAAAGCGUGCGCAGGCGGUUUGCUAAGACCGAUGUGAAAUCCCCGGGCUCAACCUGGGAACUGCAUUGGUGACUGGCAGGCUAGAGUAUGGCAGAGGGGGGUAGAAUUCCACGUGUAGCAGUGAAAUGCGUAGAGAUGUGGAGGAAUACCGAUGGCGAAGGCAGCCCCCUGGGCCAAUACUGACGCUCAUGCACGAAAGCGUGGGGAGCAAACAGGAUUAGAUACCCUGGUAGUCCACGCCCUAAACGAUGUCAACUAGUUGUUGGGGAUUCAUUUCCUUAGUAACGUAGCUAACGCGUGAAGUUGACCGCCUGGGGAGUACGGUCGCAAGAUUAAAACUCAAAUGAAUUGACGGGGUCAUAGCUGUUUCCUG
rnacentral:rRNA from 1 species